GGACGAGCCUCUGGAGAGAUCCAUUGAUUUGGACGCCGAAGGCGCAAGCCGGCCCCCGUGGUCGUGUGAAACGCUCAGGCAAAAGGACAGAGGUGGGAAA
rnacentral:ncRNA from 1 species